rnacentral:rRNA from 1 species
UACGUAGGGGGCAAGCGUUGUCCGGAAUCAUUGGGCGUAAAGAGCGCGUAGGCGGCCCUGUAAGUCCGCUGUGAACGUCAAGGGCUCAACCCUUGAAUGCCGGUGGAUACUGCAGGGCUAGAGUCCGGAAGAGGCAAGUGGAAUUCCUGGUGUAGCGGUGAAAUGCGCAGAUAUCGGGAGGAACACCUGUGGCGAAAGCGGCUCACUGGACCACAACUGACGCUGAGGCGCGAAAGCUAGGGGAGCAAACAGG